rnacentral:rRNA from 1 species
ACGCUGGCGGCGUGCCUAAUACAUGCAAGUAGAACGCUGAAGAGAGGAGCUUGCUCUUCUUGGAUGAGUUGCGAAUGGGUGAGUAACGCGUAGGUAACCUGCCUUGUAGCGGGGGAUAACUAUUGGAAACGAUAGCUAAUACCGCAUAACAAUAGGUGACACAUGUCAUUUAUUUGAAAGGGGCAAUUGCUCCACUACAAGAUGGACCUGCGUUGUAUUAGCUAGUAGGUGAGGUAACGGCUCACCUAGGCGACGAUACAUAGCCGACCUGAGAGGGUGAUCGGCCACACUGGGACUGAGACACGGCCCAGACUCCUACGGGAGGCAGCAGUAGGGAAUCUUCGGCAAUGGGGGCAACCCUGACCGAGCAACGCCGCGUGAGUGAAGAAGGUUUUCGGAUCGUAAAGCUCUGUUGUAAGUCAAGAACGAGUGUGAGAGUGGAAAGUUCACACUGUGACGGUAGCUUACCAGAAAGGGACGGCUAACUACGUGCCAGCAGCCGCGGUAAUACGUAGGUCCCGAGCGUUGUCCGGAUUUAUUGGGCGUAAAGCGAGCGCAGGCGGUUUGAUAAGUCUGAAGUUAAAGGCUGUGGCUCAACCAUAGUUCGCUUUGGAAACUGUCAAACUUGAGUGCAGAAGGGGAGAGUGGAAUUCCAUGUGUAGCGGUGAAAUGCGUAGAUAUAUGGAGGAACACCGGUGGCGAAAGCGGCUCUCUGGUCUGUAACUGACGCUGAGGCUCGAAAGCGUGGGGAGCGAACAGGAUUAGAUACCCUGGUAGUCCACGCCGUAAACGAUGAGUGCUAGGUGUUGGAUCCUUUCCGGGAUUCAGUGCCGCAGCUAACGCAUUAAGCACUCCGCCUGGGGAGUACGACCGCAAGGUUGAAACUCAAAGGAAUUGACGGGGGCCCGCA